UGCCUUCAUCUUGGAUAAACUCUUUUUUCAAAAAUAUAGUAUGAUGGCUCACAAUCACAUUGUGAUCCUCAGAAAGAUAGAAGUAGUAUCCCAUGAUUUCUUUAAGAUACCUUAUAAAACGAGCCCUAAAGGAUCUAGUCUCUAACUUGUCCGCCUGCUGUUGCUUGAUAUGGGCCGGACAUCUCCAAAUCUUAAGAUACCCAAGAGUUGGCUUCUUACCAUACCAUA
rnacentral:lncRNA from 1 species